rnacentral:SRP_RNA from 1 species
UCGUGCUAGAUGGGGAGCUAGCGGUGCCUUUCAUUCCUAUUUCUGGGAUGACCCGAAAACCGCUUAGGCGGGGUCGAACGCUUUAUUUGAGUCAAGGCUUUCAGGGGCAACAGCUUUGAAUGAAGGGUGAUGAAGGUCGGGUCUUGUGAAGGUUCCGACUACAAACCCCGUCAGGUCUGGAAAGAAGCAGCGGUAAGUAGUGAUGGGCUGGUCAUAAGAGUGCCUGAUCCGAGCUCUUCGCUUUGCUGUUCCUGAUGGUGUUGACGAAGGAAGCUGCACGA